CGGCAUGCCUUACACAUGCAAGUCGAACGGCAGCACGGGGCAACCUGGUGGCGAGUGGCGAACGGGUGAGUAAAGCAUCGGAACGUGCCCUGGAGUGGGGGAUAACGUAGCGAAAGUUACGCUAAUACCGCAUAUUCUGUGAGCAGGAAAGCAGGGGAUCGCAAGACCUUGCGCUCUGGGGAGCGGCCGAUGUCGGAUUAGCUAGUUGGUGGGGUAAAGGCCUACCAAGGCGACGAUCCGUAGCGGGUCUGAGAGGAUGAUCCGCCACACUGGGACUGAGACACGGCCCAGACUCCUACGGGAGGCAGCAGUGGGGAAUUUUGGACAAUGGGCGGAAGCCUGAUCCAGCCAUGCCGCGUGAGUGAAGAAGGCCUUCGGGGUUGUAAAGCUCUUUCGGCCGGGAAGAAAUCGCAUGGGUCAAUACCCUGUGUGGAUGACGGUACCGGAAUAAGAAGCACCGGCUAACUACGUGCCAGCAGCCGCGGUAAUACGUAGGGUGCGAGCGUUAAUCGGAAUUACUGGGC
rnacentral:rRNA from 1 species